CAACCUUGUUGUGUUUUGUAGGAAAAUAUGUCGCAAGCGGUGGGAGGAACGGGCGCCGGAGCUGUUGGAAGUGGUGGUCCAUCUGGUGUACUAGAGAAACCCCACCGGAAGUAUAAAAAGGGGGACCGUACUCGACGAAUCUGGUCCCACAGAGAGGAAGAAAUCUUGGCAGCGACUUUGGUAGAGUUGGUGGCUUUGGGGUGAAAGUCAGACAAUGGCUUUCGGACCGACUACCUUAAAAAAUGUGAGGACAGUAUCCGCCAAGAAUUUCCGACUUCCGAUAUUAAAGGUACGCUGCAUAUCGUUUCGAAGCUCACUGCAUGGAAAACAAGCUACACUAGUUUGCGAAAUAUUUUGGAUAGAACCGGUGUGGGGUUUAGUUCGAACGGAGAUUACAAGAUUGACAUCGACGAUGAUCAGUGGGAGCAUGUCGUUAAGGUGGACCCUAAAGCUAAAUUCAUGCGUCAUAAAUCGUGGCCUUUGUGGGAGACUUGGAAAUGCAUUUUCGGCAAAGACCGUGCAAUGGGUGGCGGAGCCGAGAAUAUUUAUGUAGUUGCAUCUCAUCUUCGCGAUUUCGGCGGUGGAGGCAGUCAUUGUGACGAGAGUAACUCCCAACCGCCAUUCGUUGCAGUCCCGUUCACUGAUACUGAACCACCCGAAGACGAACAUUUAGCCGAACACACCAGUUCGGGGAAUACCGACAGGCAACCUGUGGUUGACAAAUCAGCGGGUGAAAAGCGUAAGGCAGCAAGUUCAGACCAAAUGCUAAUGGAUUUUUUGGGCAAUCUACAUGCUGAGACUAAUUCAAGGUUGGCGGAGCUUUCAUAAAAAAUUGGUUACGAUAUGAUCUUGGAUAGGCCCGACAAGCGGUGUUUGAGAAGCUUUCUGAGGUUGACGGAAUCACAACAGCUGAGAAGUACCGAUUGUGCAACAUAUUGAGUGAUAAACCGCAGAGGCUCGAGGUGUUCAUGGGUAUGCUAGUACCAGCUCGGCUUGGCUAUCUUCUGGCCCUAUUAGAGGAGGGUUGAUCGACUUUAAGUUUUACGCUUUUUGUAUCGUCUAGUUGUGGUGAUGUCGUAGUUGUUCCGUGUUUUAUUAAGUUUAGCGUGUGUUACGUUCGGGGAGUAGUUUAGGUUUGUUUCAGAAGAACAACCUUGGCUCGUGUA